UAUCUCUCCGUACGGGGAAGGAUGAGAAGCUUCGAAUAAGGUUCGAUUCGAGCGAAAGCGAGAAAGCGUUGCCGCAGGCAACGACCCGAAGGGCGAAGCGCGCAGCGCUGAGUCAACCUUCCCCCACCACCA
rnacentral:sRNA from 10 species